rnacentral:rRNA from 1 species
CAGUCGCCACGGUAAAACGGAGGGUGCAAGCGUUAUCCGGAUUUAUUGGGUUUAAAGGGUCCGUAGGCGGAUCUGUAAGUCAGUGGUGAAAUCUCACAGCUUAACUGUGAAACUGCCAUUGAUACUGCAGGUCUUGAGUAAAUUUGAAGUGGCUGGAAUAAGUAGUGUAGCGGUGAAAUGCAUAGAUAUUACUUAGAACACCAAUUGCGAAGGCAGGUCACUAAGAUUUAACUGACGCUGAUGGACGAAAGCGUGGGGAGCGAACAGGAUUAGAGACCCGUGUAGUCCCUGUCUCUUAUAC